GCGCUACCCUCACUAGGAUGCUCUUCUAAUCCACCUCUCCGAUCUGCUUGUCUUGCUCCCUCCCAUCCCCUGCAACAAUUAGGCUGAAAUACACUGCAGUGGCAGAAGCUCUCCUCACCACCACCCCCUUCCCUCCCAGGGUGCUUGCAGCUUUGGAGGUGACAGAUCAUGCCAGAAAAUAGAUAUUAGGGAUCCUGUGUACCUAACCCCAGCAACUGUGGAGAGCCUACUCCAAAUCAAACAAAUAAUUUUUUGAAAUAUUUCUAUUUAAAUUGUAGUAAUUUCCAUAUUCUCGUCUAUUCAUCAUAUAGUCUAAUGGAGCCACGGUGCUUAAAUCUUUAUGCUGCUGACCUGAAGGUUGGCUAAACUUUAUGCUGCUGAACUGCUGAUCUGAAGGUUGGCAGUUCGAAUGCGCAAGGCGAGGUGACCUCCCAUCUGUAAACUCCAGUUCCUGCCAACCUAGCAAUUCAAAAACAUGCAAAUGUGAGUAGAUAAAUAGGUACCAUUUCUGUGGGGAAAGACAAAGAGAUGCUCCAAGCAACCUUGACGGCCACAUGGGGGAAAAAAAGCUCAUCCCAGAGCCAGAGAUGAGCACCGCCUCCAGAAAGCCAGAAAUGAAAGGAGAAGCCUCCGCCUUUGUUUGUAUGUCUCAUUUGUAUUUGAAUCAAAGGCAUUGAAUAUUUGCCUACGUGAAUACUGUAAUCAGCUCUGAGUCCCCUAGGGGAAAAGGGUGGAAUAUAAAUAAAGUGUAUUAUUAUUAUUAUUAUUAUUAUUAACACAGUGAUUCUUAAACUAUGGGUUCUGACCUCAAAUCAGGUCUCCUUAGCUCAGUGAUGGGGUUGCAAAAAAUCUGGCUACAGUAAAAGUUUUCUGAACAUUACCUAGUAGUUGUUUUAGACAUUUACACAAAUCUGUUGUGCAGUGUUUACAAUGGGCUCUGCAGAAGAUGCUUCAGCUGUACUUCAUAUAAAAGAAAAUCAGGCUGUUUAGCAAAUGGUAAUUUGUUAUCAGCAAAUAUUUGAUUAUUUUAUAUGGUAUCAUGUAACAAGCCCAUAGCCAGAAAUAAAUUGGGAGGGGUUGAAACCUUUUUUCCGAGAAGACUUUUCAGGUCAGUGUCUCCUGAUCUGGCAAAAGAUCCCAACAUUUGCAUCACUGCGCAAAGGUUCUUUACAGGUAAUAGAUCUUGAAUCAAUGCUCCCUCUUUAAGUCAGUUCUUGUCGGCCACAAAGGACAAUAGUUUCCACAAUAAGUUGAAGUUACUUUCUGUUUUCUUCUGCUUUCUUCUUAUUUCCUUUAUCAUGAUGACAGGUUGCAUCAAAAUGUUUUCCACUGUGAAUUAGCAAGAAGUCUUCAGUCAAGCACAAGUUGUUCUGAUGGUACUCUGUUUUUUGAUGUCUAUUGAAGACUUCUGUUGCAUAUUUCCAUCCUCCCAAUGGUUUAGCAACCAAUGCACCAAGCUUCUAAUGACCACCUUUACCCACAACUUCUCCUCCAAACACCACACCAUAUUUACACAGGGUACCUUGUACAUGAAAUGAGUAGGCUAACCAGGGAAAUCCGCUGAACCAUUUGGGUUGAAAUCUUAGAUGUGUCUUCUUAUCCUCAGGAAAUACAUAUCCUGGCAAUGGGCUCUGUGGAUUUUUCACUGCUGCUGCUCCAGUUUGAAAGCCAUGACUUUUAAACUAGAAGAAAAGAGAUUUCUCAUAAACAUGAGGAAGAACACAUGAGAAAGAACACUGUUCAACAGUGUUGUCUCGGAGUGCAGUGGAGACUUUUAAACGGAGGAUGGGUGGCCAUCUAUCAAGAGUGCUUUGAUAGUGUAGAAUGGGAUUGGACUGGAUGGGCCUUGUGGUCUAUUCCAGAUCUAGGAUUCUAUGAUAUUAAACCCUGAUUAGGACCUCUAUUGUAAAUUAUGCAUUUUUUUCUACUCUGAUCUUGCAAUGACAUGGCCAUGACUUCCUUGAUAGAAUCAAUCCAACUAUAGCAUGGCCUCCCUAUUUUUUCUAUUGCCUCUUUCUAUAUAUCACAAUUUUUUCUCAUGUGGCAUGUCACCUCCUGAUAUCCUCUUUUUGGGCAAAUUGGCUGUUGAGUUAAGUCAGGCACCAUUUAUACAUCUCUUAUUUUGUUGGAAUGCAUAAACGGUUGUCUUGACUUUACUCCUUAGCGGGAAUACUGGGAAUUUCCAGGGAGUAUCUUGGAAUAAAGAAAAUGCAAUGUGGUUCUCCAAAUUAAAAUUGGUUUGUAUAGGACAAACCUUGAGACUUUUGGAGAUCAUUUCCCCUUAAGUUCUUUGCUUUUAUCCGCUGUUUGUUUCCCAUAGGAUAGGUUUCAGCAAGCCACAAUGCUUUGCAGGAAACCAUUUUAUUAAUAAAAUUGGUGGAAUGAGCAGAUUACUGGAUCCUAGACAGGACUCUGCAACCCUUUAUAGAUGUUGUAUAUGUGACUUGCUUCAAUGGUCCAUGUGUACAGGCAGUCCCCAAGUUACAAACAUCUGACUUACGAACAACUCAUAGUUAAGAACAGGUGAGACCACAGAAAAUGAGAGAAAUAUACCCCUUGAAAGGGAAAUUCACUCCUGAAAGGGUUAUCAUGGGGAAAAGAAGUCUCCACUGAAAUUUUAUCACCAAUCCUUGUUUCCACAAUUAAGCCAAAGUUUACACAAGCACACACACGACUGGAGGUACACUUAAAACAUGUGCCUGUUCAGACUUACAAACAAACUCAACUUAACCAACUUACAGAACUUCUCUUGUUUGUAACUUGGGAACUGUCUGUAUAGGUUUGCAUCCUUGACAUUGACAAAUUAUCUCUCAUAAUCCAGAACACAGAGUUGGAUGCUUUAGUUGGAAGAGUGCAAAUGUGUAUGCAAUGGCACAUCUUUAAUCAAUUUCACUUUUAAUCAAUCUUUCUGAAUUGUAUGUUGCAUUAGAUAUUCUGUAGCUAAUUCCUACAAUCAAGAGAAUCUAAGCUCAUGCAUAGUUAAUAAAGCUUUGUGUCCUCCCUCUGCUUUCUUAUUUUGUAUUAGUGCCACCCCAGAGGUCUUCCUCGCUCUCUCAUCUAUCAGAAAAUCAUGAGCAAGACAAGGCAUUCACGGGCCAGAAAUAGUUUAUCUCAGAAAAGGCAUGAUUUUGGAGAGCAGUUUAUUGCUAUUUGAAGCAAUGUGAGAAACUGCAAGUCUCUUCUGGUGUGGGAGAACUGGCUGUCUGCAGAGACAUUGCUCAGGGGAUGCACAGAUGUGUUACCAUCCUGUGGAAGGCUUCUCUCAUGCCCCCACAUGGGAAGCUGGAGCUGACAAAUGGGAGCUCACCCUGUCUCACGGAUCUGAAUCACCGACAUUCAGGUCAGCAGUUCGGCCAGCACAAGGGUUCAACUCAUUGCACCAAGAAGUGGAGAAAACAUCAGUCCUGGGCCACUGCCGCCAUUUAACUUCUCAAACAGGCUAGAAGUGGUGCCAUUGCAGAGAAAGUAGAAGAGGCUGGUGCUUCUUUUAGGUUCUCUGGAAAAGGACUAAGCUCCCACCUUUCACUACUCUACUCGGAGAAAGGGAUGGUUCCUUUUUCAAAUAAGAGUUAAGGUACAGUAUUUAUAAUGACCCAUUAAUAAGUCAGCUCAGUUUUUUUUGGGUUGAUUUCUUGACUGAAAUUUCUAGACAUAUACAUGAGUACAUACGGUAGUUAUAGUUAUGCUGAAUUAGCUUCCUACAGUUGUUUACUAAUGCUUGCUCUAAUAUGUUUUCUAGACUGUAUCAUACAUUGAAAUGCUGGAAACAUGGUUAUAUUUACACUGAAAUUAGGUCUGCUGGAUUAUAUAAUGAUAUAUAAUGACUCCCAAACUCUGCAAUAUUGAUGAUGAGAAAUGUACCUGAACUGUGUGAUGUGAUUAUGCUUCUCUCAGAGUGUGUAGAUAUAGAAAUUGUACUGGUUGUUUCAAUAAAUAGCUAGAAACAU